UCCGUAGCUGGACUCUUAAGUCUCUUGGGAAAUCUACCGGCUUAACCGAUAGGCGUUCAAGGGAUACUGGCAAUCUAGGGACCGGAAGAGGUGAGAGGUACUCCAGGGGUAGGAGUGAAAUCCUGUAAUCCUUGGGGGACCACCUGUGGCGAAGGCGUCUCACCAGAACGGCUCCGACAGUGAGGGACGAAAGCUGGGGGAGCAAACAGGAUUAGAUACCCUGGUAGUCC
rnacentral:rRNA from 1 species